rnacentral:rRNA from 1 species
CGUUCCUACGGGGGGCAGCAGUGGGGAAUAUUGCACAAUGGGGGGAACCCUGAUGCAGCGACGCCGCGUGAGUGAAGAAGUAUUUCGGUAUGUAAAGCUCUAUCAGCAGGGAAGAAAUAAAGUCCUUCGGACUUUGGACGGUACCUGACUAAGAAGACCCGGCUAACUAAGUGCCAGCAGCCGCGGUAAUACGUAGGGGGCAAGCGUUAUCCGGAUUGACUGGGUGUAAAGGGAGCGUAGGUGGCAUGGUAAGCCAGAAGUGA